CCACAAAUCCUGUUGGGGCAUUCUUUCGAAUAAGGAAAAGUGGUUUUAUAAAGGAAACCAAAUCGCCACUGUAAAUAGUUACAAGUAUUUAGGUGUCUGGUUUUCAAGUAA